AACGCGAAGAACCUUACCUGGGCUUGAACCGCACAGGACCAGCUUUAGAAAUAGAGCCUUCCCGCAAGGGACCUGUGUAGAGGUGCUGCAUGGCUGUCGUCAGCUCGUGCCGUGAGGUGUUGGGUUAAGUCCCGCAACGAGCGCAACCCUUACUCUUAGUUGCCACCCGCAAGGGGGAACUCUAAGAGGACUGCUCCGGAUAACGGAGAGGAAGGUGGGGAUGAGGUCAAGUCAGCAUGGCCUUUAUGUCCAGGGCGACACACGUGUUACAAUGCGCGCCACAAUGCGUCGCGAACCCGCGAGGGGGAGCUAAUCGCAAAAAAGCGCGCUCAGUUCGGAUUGCAGUCUGCAACUCGACUGCAUGAAGCUGGAAUCGCUAGUAAUGGCGCAUCAGAACGGCGCCGUGAAUACGUUCCCGGGCCUUGUA
rnacentral:rRNA from 1 species